GAAUGGCAAGGGUGAUGAAUCAAUUAGAUGUGUGAAUGGGAAUUGAUCUUUUUUCCAUUUUGAGCUCAACUUUUGAGGCAAUAUAAUUUGUCUGACUUGCCAUGU
rnacentral:snoRNA from 2 species